rnacentral:ncRNA from 1 species
AAUACCGGUGGAAAUCCGGAGCGGUUGCGCCACUGUGACCGGACGCGAGUUCGGGAGCCAGAAAA